rnacentral:rRNA from 1 species
GUAGGUGGCAAGCGUUGUCCGGAAUUAUUGGGCGUAAAGCGCGCGCAGGCGGUCCUUUAAGUCUGAUGUGAAAGCCCACGGCUCAACCGUGGAGGGUCAUUGGAAACUGGGGGACUUGAGUACAGAAGAGGAAAGCGGAAUUCCAAGUGUAGCGGUGAAAUGCGUAGAGAUUUGGAGGAACACCAGUGGCGAAGGCGGCUUUCUGGUCUGUAACUGACGCUGAGGCGCGAAAGCGUGGGGAGCAAACAGGGAUUAGAUACCCUGGUAGUCCACGCCGUAAACGGUGAGUGCUAAGUGUUAGGGGGUUUCCCGCCCCCCUUAGUGCUGCAGCUAACGCAUUAAGCACUCCGCCUGGGGAGUACGGCCGCAAGGCUG